AGGGUUUCAAGUUUGGUUUCAAAGUGGGUGGUGGCUUAACCCCUACUGCAUAUUUUCAAGAAAUCUAGGAGAGAAAUAACGAAUCAUUUUCAUGAUAAUGUCAGCUGUGCUGUCAGCUGUUCCAUUUUGCAUGGCGUCGGACCUGAGGAUGGUAGCUCAAAUUAACGUCUCCCUUCUUAAAAUUUCACCGUCGAUUUCGUGUGUUUGACCUGGAUCUUGAGAAUGAAACCCAUGCUAAGUUGUGAAAGGAGCAUGGUUUGACUUCACCAGCAUGUUUUUCAUCUCCGUUAGGCAAAUACACCCAUCUUGGUACCAAAAGUGCUACAUAAAGAAAGUAGUUCUUUAAAAUGUUUUUGCAGGUCUUUUGGAUGUACCUGAUAUGCUGUGGUGGCCGCAGAAUCAUUCUUUGACAGAAAGGAAUGCCAUCAAUGUUUUGUUUUCAAUGUAAUAAAAUAAUUCCAAUAUCAUUCUUGCUUUAGUGAAUUAUAAGCUAACAUGCAAGAAAAAAGAGAAGUUCAAGAUGGUCUUAUUCUUUACACUUCUUACUGAUCAGUCAAGUUAAUUACAUUGUGAAAGUCAUUGAAAAACUUGAAUAUACAAGAAUUGCCAACUUUGA